rnacentral:rRNA from 1 species
GGGGGCUUCGGCCCCUGAGUACAGCGGCGGACGGGUGAGUAACACGUGGGUUAUCUGCCCUCGGGUGGGGAAUAACUCAGGGAAACCUGGGCUAAUUCCGCAUGAUAUCUCCUUCCCAUACGGGUUGGAGAUCAAAGCUGGGGACCCUUCGGGGCCUGGCGCCUGAGGAGGAGCCCGCGGCCAAUUAGCUUGUUGGUGAGGUAAUGGCUCACCAAGGCAACGAUUGGUAGCCGGCCUGAGAGGGCGGACGGCCACACUGGGACUGAGACACGGCCCAGACUCCUACGGGAGGCAGCAGUGGGGAAUUUUUGUCAAUGGGGGAAACCCUGAACAAGCAACGCCGCGUGAAGGACGAAGACCUUCGGGUUGUAAACUUCUGUCGGAGGGGACGAAAGCGGUCGAGGUUAAUACCCCCGAUCGUUGACGGUACCCUACGAGGAAGCCCCGGCUAACUCCGUGCCAGCAGCCGCGGUAAUACGGGGGGGGCAAGCGUUGUUCGGAAUUACUGGGCGUAAAGGGCGCGCAGGCGGAUGGGAAAGUCUCUCGUGAAAGCCCACGGCUCAACCGUGGAAUUGCGGGAGAUACUGCUCGUCUUGAGUCCGGGAGAGGAGUGUGGAAUUCCCAGUGUAGCGGUGAAAUGCGUAGAUAUUGGGAGGAACACCGGUGGCGAAGGCGGCACUCUGGACCGGUACUGACGCUGA